rnacentral:rRNA from 1 species
AGAGUUUGAUCCUGGCUCAGGACGAACGCUGGCGGCGUGCUUAACACAUGCAAGUCGAGCGACGCGCCUUCGGGUGACGGAGCGGCGAACGGGUGAGUAACACGUGGGCAACCUGCCCCUAGCUCUGGGAUAACUCCGGGAAACCGGGGCUAAUACCGGAUACGACCUCGGAGGGCAUCUUCUGGGGUGGAAAGUUCUUCGGCUAGGGAUGGGCCCGCGGCCUAUCAGCUUGUUGGUGGGGUGAUGGCCCACCAAGGCGACGACGGGUAGCCGGCCUGAGAGGGCGACCGGCCACACUGGGACUGAGACACGGCCCAGACUCCUACGGGAGGCAGCAGUGGGGAAUAUUGCGCAAUGGGCGGAAGCCUGACGCAGCGACGCCGCGUGGGGGAUGAAGGCCUUCGGGUUGUAAACUCCUUUCGGGAGGGAUGAUUAAGGACAGUACCUCCAAAAGAAGCACCGGCCAACUACGUGCCAGCAGCCGCGGUAAUACGUAGGGUGCAAGCGUUGUCCGGAAUUAUUGGGCGUAAAGAGCUCGUAGGCGGUCUGUCGCGUCGGCUGUGAAAACUUGGGGCUCAACCCCAAGCCUGCAGUCGAUACGGGCAGACUAGAGUGCGGUAGGGGAGACUGGAAUUCCUGGUGUAGCGGUGAAAUGCGCAGAUAUCAGGAGGAACACCGGUGGCGAAGGCGGGUCUCUGGGCCGUAACUGACGCUGAGGAGCGAAAGCGUGGGGAGCGAACAGGAUUAGAUACCCUAGUAGUCC